UGGGGAAUAUUGCACAAUGGGCGCAAGCCUGAUGCAGCCAUGCCGCGUGUAUGAAGAAGGCCUUCGGGUUGUAAAGUACUUUCAGCGGGGAGGAAGGUGUUGUGGUUAAUAACCACAGCAAUUGACGUUACCCGCAGAAGAAGCACCGGCUAACUCCGUGCCAGCAGCCGCGGUAAUACGGAGGGUGCAAGCGUUAAUCGGAAUUACUGGGCGUAAAGCGCACGCAGGCGGUCUGUCAAGUCGGAUGUGAACUCCCCGGGCUCAACCUGGGAACUGCAUUCGAAACUGGCAGGCUAGAGUCUUGUAGAGGGGGGUAGAAUUCCAGGUGUAGCGGUGAAAUGCGUAGAGAUCUGGAGGAAUACCGGUGGCGAAGGCGGCCCCCUGGACAAAGACUGACGCUCAGGUGCGAAAGCGUGGGGAGCAAACA
rnacentral:rRNA from 1 species